GGAAGUUAAAAAGUUGUUUCUUAACUUUUAACUAAAAAAGCUAAGAACCGGUUUUUAAAUAAAGACUUUAAGAACCGAUUCUUAAUUUUUUAGUUAAAAGUUAAAAAACAGUUUUUUAAUUUUC
rnacentral:pre_miRNA from 1 species